rnacentral:rRNA from 1 species
UACGGAGGGUGCAAGCGUUAUCCGGAUUUACUGGGUUUAAAGGGUGCGUAGGUGGGUAGGUAAGUCAGUUGGUGAAAUCUUCAAGCUUAACUUGGAAACUGCCAUUGAUACUAUUUAUCUUGAAUACUUUGGAGGUAAGCGGAAUAUGUCAUGUAGCGGUGAAAUGCUUAGAUAUGACAUAGAACACCAAUUGCGAAGGCAGCUUACUACACAGUUAUUGACACUGAGGCACGAAAGCGUGGGGAUCAAACAGG